UACGGGGGGGGGUAAGCGUUGUUCGGAAUUACUGGGCGUAAAGGGCGCGUAGGCGGUCUUUUAAGUUCCGUGUGAAAUCCCUCGGCUCAACUGGGGAACUGCACGGGAAACUGGAAGGCUUGAGUUCGGGAGAGGGAAGCGGAAUUCCGGGUGUAGCGGUGAAAUGCGUAGAUAUCCGGAGGAACACCGGUGGCGAAGGCGGCUUACCUGG
rnacentral:rRNA from 1 species